CCCUUAGAUGUUCUGGGCCGCACGCGCGCUACACUGAUGCAUUCAACGAGUCUAAAACCUGCUCUGAUAGGGGUGGGUAAUCUUUUGAAUGUGCAUCGUGAUUGGGAUAGAUGAUUGCAAUUUUUCAUCUUCAACGAGGAAUGCCUAGUAAACGCAAGUCAGCAGCUUGCAUUGAUUACGUCCCUGCCCUUUGUACACACCGCCCGUCGCUCCUACCGAUUGAAUGAUCCGAUGAAUAUCAUGGAUUGAGGAUGCAAGCAGGUUCGCCUGUCUUCAUCUUCGAGAAGUGAAGUAAAUCUUAUCAUUUAGAGGAAGGAGAAGUCGUAACA
rnacentral:rRNA from 1 species